rnacentral:misc_RNA from 1 species
UGAUCCGCAAUUGACAUCCAUCCCUGCAGUUAAUUGUUAAACAAUGCUCUAAGACUCUGGGUAAAUGAAAAGUUGCUCAGUUCAACGAAUUUCCCAUGUAAAAGGUAUUAUGGACUCUGCAUACAUCUUCUAAUCCAUCUAAUUAAAAUGAAAAAGCGCUUCUUAAUGAUUUGCAAGUUGCAACUAUUCAACUCACAGAGUGAUAGCAGUGUAAUUUUGGCUUAGUUACCUCUUCUCCGCUGCCAAAUCCAAGGCUCAAAUGCUGCACAUCAAAGUCCUUCGAUGUGUAUACUUCAUACAUAAUUACUGACGGUAAGUCCAAUUGAAUUACAAAUAUCCGACUCAUUGUAAAUCUCUUAAAGGAUAAAGAUAAUAAGAGUCUGCUAAGAACCAUGUUUUUCUACUAUAAAUAGGAUCAACAACCAAGUAAGCAGAUUAUCGUGAAUUAUAUUCACAUGGAAUUGCUGACUUAUGACUUGGUCAUCCAAGUGGACCCUUAGCUUAGCUUGAGAAUUGGGUACUUAACGCACUAAGAACUUGUUUAGUUCUCUCAUAGCACAAUGCUCCAUACCCACAUCCACAUAAUAUUCUCUUACGGCCUUUAGCAUAGCAAGUGGGAAAUAAAAUGGUUUGAGAAUGUCACAUCAUUUUGCCGGCACAUAUAAUUGAUCCGUUUGUGGAAUCUUUAUUAUCAACAUAAACUUCAUGGUGAUGCAAUAACAUAGACUUUAUGUCACUUCAACUUUUAGUAUAUUUAGUGCUUAUUCAUAGAAACUAAACAUUUUACUCAAGCAAGGGAAAAAAGUUGAGACUUUUGCUGAGUGUUCCAACCAACUCAAAAUAAUUGAUCCUUGUUCAUGCAAAGUUAUGAGAUGUUCAUUUAUCUAAUGGAGGCUCAACUCAGCAUACACGUGACAAUAGGGGAGUCUAAGCCUGCUAAAUGUUGAUUCACACCCAAACUUUAUCUUUUCCAUAGGAGACCAGAAGAAAAAAGGGACCGGUUACAGUCAGGUAUACCGCCUAGGUAGCAUCACGCUUUGCAUUAAUGACUACAACCUUCGUCAUGACUCAUGAGUCCAGCUACUCGUAUACCCUUGAGCGCCUAACUACAUUUAGAGUUAUUCUAUUACACAGAAAAAGGCAAAAGGGCAAAUUAUAAUAGAAAAAAACAUUAAAGUUGAGAAGAAACGUCAGUCCAAUCAACGAGCUGUUAUGAUAAGUGUAUGGACUAAUUGCUCAUUACCGAAGACUUUCGGUGACGCCCAUGGGAUGUUUGUGAUGUGUGGACCCAUAAGAUAAUAUGAGUCCAAAAUCUCAAUUCAUUAAUAAGAGAUAAUGAGGAUAACUAGAAGGACAAAUGACGCAUAAUCUGCCAGCCUAUGAUAAAAACAGAAGCACAUGUCGUCUUUAUGAUAUUAUACAAUAAAAAGCAAGUGAUAGGUCCCAUACCAGCUUUAAGUACAUCAACCACA